UACAGAGGUCUCAAGCGUUGUUCGGAUUCAUUGGGCGUAAAGGGUGUGUAGGUGGCGCCGUAAGUCGGGUGUGAAAUUUCGGAGCUUAACUCCGAAACUGCAUUCGAUACUGCGGUGCUUGAGGACUGGAGAGGAGACUGGAAUUCAUGGUGUAGCAGUGAAAUGCGUAGAGAUCAUGAGGAAGACCAGUGGCGAGGGCGGGUCUCUGGACAGUUCCUGACACUGAGACACGAAGGCCAGGGGAGCAAACGGG
rnacentral:rRNA from 1 species